UACGUAGGUGGCGAGCGUUGUCCGGAUUUACUGGGCGUAAAGGGAGCGUAGGCGGACUUUUAAGUGAGAUGUGAAAUACCCGGGCUCAACUUGGGUGCUGCAUUUCAAACUGGAAGUCUAGAGUGCAGGAGAGGAGAGUGGAAUUCCUAGUGUAGCGGUGAAAUGCGUAGAGAUUAGGAAGAACACCAGUGGCGAAGGCGACUCUCUGGACUGUAACUGACGCUGAGACGCGAAAGCGUGGGGAGCGAACAGG
rnacentral:rRNA from 1 species